rnacentral:rRNA from 1 species
CCCCUAGACGUUCUGGGCUGCACGCGCGCUACAAUAAUACGCACAGCGAGUAUCACCGAGCUCGAAAGGGCAAGGUAAACAAUAGAAAAGGUACUGUAAUGGUUAUAGAUCCUUGUAAUUAUUGAUCUUCAACGAGGAAUUCCUAGUAAGUAUGUGUCAUCAUCACGCACUGAUUACGUCCCUGCCCUUUGUACACACCGCCCGUCGCUCCUACCGAUUGGAUGAUCCGGUGAGCUAUUCGGACUUUCGCAUUGUCGAUUUUCGGCUUUACGAGGGAAAGUCUCGCGAACCUUAUCAUCUAGAGGAAGGAGAAGUCGUAACA